CACUUUCUUAAAAAAUUAACAAAGUGAGCCUA
rnacentral:piRNA from 1 species